rnacentral:lncRNA from 1 species
GAAUCCAAAGGAAAAAGUACCAGAACGUGAACAAUCAUAAUGAUUAACUGAAAUCAUUUCAUGAGGGGUUUGUUUAUAUUUGUGUAAAUAUCAGAACAAUUCUGAUCCAUUCAUCACGGCCAUAAUGAAAAUAAAUGAAAGGAAAGAGUAAACGAAUUGAGAUGCUGAGAUCGAUCGAAGAAGCAGAUGAGAGCGGUGGAGAGAGAUGAACGAAUGAAAGAUUUUUGGUUUGAGAAAUAAAGAGUUGAUUAAAAAAAGCUAACCACUGUAAAUAUCUUCUGUCUCCUUCUUCAAUUGUGUGGAUAUGGGGUUGGAGUUGUGGAGAGGAAAUCAAAGUGGAAGAAGGUGAUAGAAAUUGGAGAAGAAUGAAUGGCAGUA